rnacentral:hammerhead_ribozyme from 1 species
AUGCAGCUGAUGAGUCCCAAAUAGGACGAAACGCGCGUCCUGAAU